rnacentral:rRNA from 1 species
CCUACGGGAGGCAGCAGUGGGGAAUCUUGCGCAAUGGGCGAAAGCCUGACGCAGCGACGCCGCGUGGGGGAUGAAGGCCUUCGGGUUGUAAACCCCUUUCAGCGGGGACGAAGCCUGUUUUGCAGGUGACGGUACCCGCAGAAGAAGCACCGGCUAACUACGUGCCAGCAGCCGCGGUAAUACGUAGGGUGCAAGCGUUGUCCGGAAUUAUUGGGCGUAAAGAGCUCGUAGGCGGUCUGUCGCGUCUGCUGUGAAAUCCUGGGGCUCAACCCCGGGCCUGCAGUGGAUACGGGCAGACUAGAGUCCGGUAGGGGAAAGUGGAAUUCCCGGUGUAGCGGUGAAAUGCGCAGAUAUCGGGAGGAACACCAGUGGCGAAGGCGGCUUUCUGGGCCGGAACUGACGCUGAGGAGCGAAAGCGUGGGGAGCGAACAGGAUUAGAUACCCUGGUAGUCCACGCCGUAAACGUUGGGCGCUAGGUGUGGGGCCUUUCCAUGGGUUCCGUGCCGUAGCUAACGCAUUAAGCGCCCCGCCUGGGGAGUACGGCCGCAAGGCUAAAACUCAAAGGAAUUGACGGGGGCCCGCACAAGCGGCGGAGCAUGUUGCUUAAUUCGGCGCAACGCGAAGAACCUUAC